rnacentral:ncRNA from 1 species
AUGUGCUGCUGCUCAGCAUGAGAGGAACCGCAGGUCCAGACACUGGGUAUCUGCGCUUGGCUGACGAGUCAAUGAUGCAAAAGCUACCAUCUGUGUGAUUAUAACUGAACACCCAUAAAUCAGAAUCCAAGACAU